AUGAAGAAAUCAGAGCUCAGAAAGAUCCAGUUCAUUUGUCCAUUCAGCAGCUGUUGCCUACCUGCACACUUCCGUGAGCUUUCCCAGGCAUGUUCGGUAUACUAGUCCCAAGACACAGGGCUUGUCUUCAAGAUAAUCUGAAGAAUUGAGACCUGGGGAUAGCACCCAAGAAGAGGGAAGAUAUGGGUUGACAACUGAGACAUUUCCUGGAUUGUUCAUAUCAUGUCACAGCUGGACUGAGCCUUAGAAGUGUUAUCUUUCCUUUUGACCUUCAUGGGAAUGAAGAUUCUGAAAGAUGGUGGUGCAGAGCGGAGAUGAGAGCUCAGUGUACUGGGUUGCUAUGGGUGAUGACGAGGAAAGAUUCUCUGAAAGUGAAAAUGAGGACCUCUCUCACGCUGGCCAGGGAACCAUCAUACUGUCAUCACAGCUGGAUAUGACAGGUUCCAGGAGUUUAGAAAUUGUUCUUGACAUGGUGGGAAGCAUUUUCAUGUCCUCGCACCAGGAAUACGUCAUUUCCUAUGUAAGUGGAGCCACCCCCCCCCUCCGCCCCAGCCCUUUCUCUCUGGUUACCACGGCUUCUUUUUCCCCAUGGUGCUCAUCACCACAUAGCGUGUCCCGUAUCUGUCACUUUUCUGUCUUUACCCACUAG
rnacentral:lncRNA from 1 species